AACAGGGCUUUAAGUCUAAAAUACCGAACUUGUCCUUUAAAGCAUUUUUAAACUUUAAAAACAUGUUGUUUGUCGUGACUCUACAUUGUAAUACUCACCCGGUUACAGUAAUUUGUGUAAUGUUGGACAUACGAUGAAACAACACGACAUUGAUACAGCAAUUUGACCUCACACUCAUUUUUAUCAGCAGAUUAGUGUGCUUUGAGUACACCACAGUUCUGUAAGUGAAAAAUUAAUUCAUAUUUAUGUGUGUUUCUUUCUCAGUAAGGACUAACUUUAACUGACUUUCUGUCUGUCUGUCUGUUCUCAACCAAACGGUCAUUCAAGACCUUUUAAAGCAAAAACAUUUCCCGUGCAAGUUUGAAUCUCUCUCAGUAAGGACUUAUUGACUGGCUGUCUGUUCUCGACCAAACGGUCAUUCUUACUCAUAAAAAACUUUUAAAGCACAAGUGUGUCCCGCGCAAGUUUGAAUUUCUCUCAGUAAGGACUGACGGAUGGCCAUUCACUCAUAAAACCUUUUAAAGGUUAGCACGAAUGCAUCCAGCAUAAUUUUGGAUCUUUACCAUUGAGGAGACUGGCUGACUGUUCUCAACCAACCAUCAUUCACACGCAAAAACUUUAAAGGUAAGUAUGAACGUGUCUAGAGCAGUUUUGGAUCUUUACCAUUGAGGAGGUUGACUGACUUUCAUCUACCAACUGUCAUUAACACAACAAAAACUAAAGAAAUGUUACUACAAGUGGACCUAUAUAGUUACUCAUUAUGCUGUGAGUACACCACAAUUUUAUCAGUGAAACAAUAAUGUUUGUUUUUUCUCAAUGCUUGGCAUAGACAAAUGUGACCCUGUGUAAUUUGGAAAUUUCAUGGGAAAUGUGUACGUCUUAAAAAUGUUUAAAUGUCGUUUGAGUUAAGGAACAGUACACCGAUUUAUUAAAAGUGUGCAAUACACUGAGUCUAUUAAAGUCAUAAAGGAAUACUUGAUAUAUUUCAUAAAGGAAUGUGUAAAUCUAAUAUUAGUUUUAAUGUGAAUUUGGACAGAAAAGCAAAAAAUCUUUUGUAAAAUAAACAAUUGUUUAAUAAACUGUAAUAAUUUUACCCUUUUCUGUCAUCAUUUUUUAUACUAAUGUUUGGUUUAAGGCAAUCGGUUUCCUCAAACGGUUUAAGUGGAGUUAACUUUUCGGGUUUUACAGUGUAACAACAAUGUACAAAAUCAAAAAGAGGAAAGCAUAUUUUAAAAACAAAAAAAUUAAUUGGAUCCCAUUAAAAUCCUCUACAAAUUAUCCUAAAGGAUAUUUUUGUCGUGUCUUAAAA